AUUUAAGUAGUUUAUAAAAAAUAUUGAUGUGUGAAAUCAAAGAAAUUAAUUAAUCUUAAAUU
rnacentral:tRNA from 1 species